rnacentral:misc_RNA from 1 species
AAAAUGCGAUAAGUAAUGUGAAUUGCAGAAUUCAGUGAAUCAUCGAAUCUUUGAACGCACAUUGUGCCCGCCAGUAUUCUGGCGGGCAUGCCUGUUCGAGCGUCAUUUCAACCCUCAAGCCCCCGGGUUUGGUGUUGGGGAUCGGGCUGCGGUUCUACCGCGUCCCGGCCCCGAAAUCUAGUGGCGGUCUCGCUGCAGCCUCCAUUGCGUAGUAGCUAACACCUCGCAACUGGAACGCGGCGCGGCCAAGCCGUUAAACCCCCAACUUCUGAAUGUUGACCUCGGAUCAGGUAGGAAUACCCGCUGAACUUAAGC